rnacentral:rRNA from 2 species
AGACCCGAAACCCGGUGAUCUAGCCAUGGGCAGGUUGAAGGUUGGGUAACACUAACUGGAGGACCGAACCGACUAAUGUUGAAAAAUUAGCGGAUGACCUGUGGCUGGGGGUGAAAGGCCAAUCAAACCGGGAGAUAGCUGGUUCUCCCCGAAAGCUAUUUAGGUAGCGCCUCGUGAAUUCAUCUCCGGGGGUAGAGCACUGUUUCGGCUAGGGGGCCAUCCCGGCUUACCAACCCGAUGCAAACUGCGAAUACCGGAGAAUGUUAUCACGGGAGACACACGGCGGGUGCUAACGUCCGUCGUGAAGAGGGAAACAACCCAGACCGCCAGCUAAGGUCCCAAAGUCAUGGUUAAGUGGGAAACGAUGUGGGAAGGCCCAGACAGCCAGGAUGUUGGCUUAGAAGCAGCCAUCAUUUAAAGAAAGCGUAAUAGCUCACUGGUCGAGUCGGCCUGCGCGGAAGAUGUAACGGGGCUAAACCAUGCACCGAAGCUGCGGCAGCGACGCUGAUGCGUUGUUGGGUAGGGGAGCGUUCUGUAAGCCUGCGAAGGUGGCCUGUGAGGGUUGCUGGAGGUAUCAGAAGUGCGAAUGCUGACAUAAGUAACGAUAAAGCGGGUGAAAAGCCCGCUCGCCGGAAGACCAAGGGUUCCUGUCCAACGUUAAUCGGGGCAGGGUGAGUCGACCCCUAAGGCGAGGCCGAAAGGCGUAGUCGAUGGGAAACGGGUUAAUAUUCCCGUACUUGGUGUUACUGCGAAGGGGGGACGGAGAAGGCUAUGUUGGCCGGGCGACGGUUGUCCCGGUUUAAGCGUGUAGGUGUGUGUUCCAGGUAAAUCCGGUUCACUUUAACACUGAGGCGUGAUGACGAGGCACUACGGUGCUGAAGCAACAAAUGCCCUGCUUCCAGGAAAAGCCUCUAAGCAUCAGGUAACAUCAAAUCGUACCCCAAACCGACACAGGUGGUCAGGUAGAGAAUACCAAGGCGCUUGAGAGAACUCGGGUGAAGGAACUAGGCAAAAUGGUGCCGUAACUUCGGGAGAAGGCACGCUGACACGUAGGUGAAGUGAUUUACUCAUGGAGCUGAAGUCAGUCGAAGAUACCAGCUGGCUGCAACUGUUUAUUAAAAACACAGCACUGUGCAAACACGAAAGUGGACGUAUACGGUGUGACGCCUGCCCGGUGCCGGAAGGUUAAUUGAUGGGGUCAGCGCAAGCGAAGCUCCUGAUCGAAGCCCCGGUAAACGGCGGCCGUAACUAUAACGGUCCUAAGGUAGCGAAAUUCCUUGUCGGGUAAGUUCCGACCUGCACGAAUGGCGUAAUGAUGGCCAGGCUGUCUCCACCCGAGACUCAGUGAAAUUGAACUCGCUGUGAAGAUGCAGUGUACCCGCGGCAAGACGGAAAGACCCCGUGAACCUUUACUAUAGCUUGACACUGAACAUUGAGCCUUGAUGUGUAGGAUAGGUGGGAGGCUUUGAAGUGUGGACGCCAGUCUGCAUGGAGCCGGCCUUGAAAUACCACCCUUUAAUGUUUGAUGUUCUAACGUGGACCCGUGAUCCGGGUUGCGGACAGUGUCUGGUGGGUAGUUUGACUGGGGCGGUCUCCUCCUAAAGAGUAACGGAGGAGCACGAAGGUUGGCUAAUCCUGGUCGGACAUCAGGAGGUUAGUGCAAUGGCAUAAGCCAGCUUGACUGCGAGCGUGACGGCGCGAGCAGGUGCGAAAGCAGGUCAUAGUGAUCCGGUGGUUCUGAAUGGAAGGGCCAUCGCUCAACGGAUAAAAGGUACUCCGGGGAUAACAGGCUGAUACCGCCCAAGAGUUCAUAUCGACGGCGGUGUUUGGCACCUCGAUGUCGGCUCAUCACAUCCUGGGGCUGAAGUAGGUCCCAAGGGUAUGGCUGUUCGCCAUUUAAAGUGGUACGCGAGCUGGGUUUAGAACGUCGUGAGACAGUUCGGUCCCUAUCUGCCGUGGGCGCUGGAGAACUGAGGGGGGCUGCUCCUAGUACGAGAGGACCGGAGUGGACGCAUCACUGGUGUUCGGGUUGUCAUGCCAAUGGCACUGCCCGGUAGCUAAAUGCGGAAGAGAUAAGUGCUGAAAGCAUCUAAGCACGAAACUUGCCCCGAGAUGAGUUCUCCCUGAGACUUAGAGUCUCCUGAAGGAACGUUGAAGACGACGACGUUGAUAGGCCGGGUGUGUAAGCGCAGCGAUGCGUUGAGCUAACCGGUACUAAUGAACCGUGAGGCUUAACCUU